UACGUAUGGAGCAAGCGUUAUCCGGAUUUACUGGGUGUAAACGGUGCGUAGGCGGCACAGCAAGUCAGAUGUGAAAGACCGGAGCUCAACCCCGGGGCUGCAUUUGAAACUGCCGAGCUUGAGUCCCGGAGAGGCAGGCGGAAUUCCUAGUGUAGCGGUGAAAUGCGUAGAUAUUAGGAGGAACACCAGUGGCGAAGGCGGCCUGCUGGACCGGAACUGACGCUGAGGCACGAAAGCGUGGGGAGCAAACAGG
rnacentral:rRNA from 1 species